rnacentral:lncRNA from 1 species
UAAUUAUUCGGGAUGGCUAGAAAGGCUCGGGGUUAAUUACAAACAACGUGCCUUAGUGUGUGUAUCAUGCAGUGACAGUCCCAGAGAAAAAUGGAUAUAGGCUCAAAGGGGGUUAACGAGGGAUAUAAUUAUUCGGGAUGGCUAGAAAGGCUCGGGGUUAAUUACAAACAACGUGCCUUAGUGUGUGUAUCAUGCAGUGACAGUCCCAGAGAGUC